rfam:Erinaceus europaeus unplaced genomic scaffold scaffold00239, whole genome shotgun sequence
AUAUCGGUUUUGUUUAAAACCACACAUAUUUGGUUUUCGGUUUAAU